CCUACGGGUGGCAGCAGUGAGGAAUAUUGGUCAAUGGGCGCAAGCCUGAACCAGCCAAGUCGCGUGAGGGAUGACGGUCCUAUGGAUUGUAAACCUCUUUUGUCGGGGAGCAAGGCCCGCCGCGUGUGGCGUGACGGAGAGUACCCGAAGAAAAAUCAUCGACUAACUCCGUGCCAGCAGCCUCGGUAAUACGGAGGAUCCGAGCUUUAGCCGGAUUUAUUGGGUUUAACGGGAGCGUAGAUGGGUUGUUAAGUCAGUUGUGAAAGUUCGCGGCUCAACCAUAAAAUUGCAAUUGAUACUGGCAGUCUUGAGGACAGUUGAGGUAGGCGGAAUUCGUGGUGGAGCGGUGAAAUGCUUAGAUAACACGAAGAACCCCGAUUGCGAAGGAAGCUUACUAAACUGUGACUGACAUCGAUGCUCGAAAGUGUGGGGAUCAAAAAGGAUUAGAUACCCCUGUAGUC
rnacentral:rRNA from 1 species